rnacentral:rRNA from 1 species
CGCUGGCGGCGUGCUUAACACAUGCAAGUCGAACGCUGAAGCCUGGCUUUGUGUUGGGUGGAUGAGUGGCGAACGGGUGAGUAACACGUGAGUAACCUGCCCUCUUCUUCGGGAUAACGGUCUGAAAGGGCUGCUAAUACCGGGUAUUCACUGGUCCUCGCAUGGGGGUUGGUGGAAAGGUUUUUUCUGGUGGGGGAUGGGCUCGCGGCCUAUCAGCUUGUUGGUGGGGUGAUGGCCUACCAAGGCUUUGACGGGUAGCCGGCCUGAGAGGGUGACCGGUCACAUUGGGACUGAGAUACGGCCCAGACUCCUACGGGAGGCAGCAGUGGGGAAUAUUGCACAAUGGGCGCAAGCCUGAUGCAGCGACGCCGCGUGAGGGAUGGAGGCCUUCGGGUUGUGAACCUCUUUCGCCCGUGGUCAAGCCGCAACG